rnacentral:rRNA from 1 species
UCAAGUGAAUAAGUGCAUGUGGUGAAUGCCUUGGCGAUUACAGGCGAUGAAGGACGUUGUAGCCUGCGAAAAGCCGCGGGGAGCUGGCAAACAAGCUUUGAUCCGCGGAUGUCCGAAUGGGGAAACCCACCCGCAAGGGUAUCGCUGACUGAAUCCAUAGGUCAGCGAGGCGAACGUGGCGAACUGAAACAUCUAAGUAGCCACAGGAAAAGAAAUCAACCGAGAUUCCGAAAGUAGUGGCGAGCGAAAUCGGAGCAGCCUGUGCGUGAUAGUCGAUUGGCUAGUGGAACGGUAUGGAAAGGCCGGCCAUAGAGGGUGAUAGCCCCUUACACGAAAGCGAAUCGGUGGUACUGAGCGUACGACAAGUAGGGCGGGACACGUGUAAUCCUGUCUGAAGAUGGGGGGACCAUCCUCCAAGGCUAAAUACUCGUAAUCGACCGAUAGUGAACAAGUACUGUGAAGGAAAGGCGAAAAGAACCCCGGGAGGGGAGUGAAAUAGAUCCUGAAACCGCAUGCAUACAAACAGUCGGAGCCUCGCAAGGGGUGACGGCGUACCUUUUGUAUAAUGGGUCAGCGACUUACGUUCAGUGGCAAGCUUAACCAGAUAGGGGAGGCGCAGGGAAACCGAGUCCGAAUAGGGCGCCAUAGUCGCUGGGCGUAGACCCGAAACCAGGUGAUCUAUCCAUGGUCAGGAUGAAGGUUGGGUAACACCAGCUGGAGGUCCGAACCGACUAAUGUUGCAAAAUUAGCGGAUGAACUGUGGAUAGGGGUGAAAGGCUAAUCAAACCUGGAAAUAGCUGGUUCUCCCCGAAAACUAUUUAGGUAGUGCGUCAUGUAUUGCUCCAGGGGGUAGAGCACUGUAAUGGUUGUGGGGGCCAUCGCGGCUUACCACGCCAUAGCAAACUCCGAAUACCUGGAAGUAUGAGCAUGGCAGACAGUCGCCGGGUGCUAACGUCCGGCGGCAAGAGGGAAACAACCCAGACCUACAGCUAAGGUCCCAAAGUGUGGCUAAGUGGGAAACGAAGUGGGAAGGCUAAAACAGUCAGGAUGUUGGCUUAGAAGCAGCCAUCAUUUAAAGAAAGCGUAAUAGCUCACUGAUCGAGUCGUCCUGCGCGGAAGAUGUAACGGGGCUAAGCCAUGCACCGAAGCUUAGGCUGCACUCUCUGAGUGCGGGGUAGGGGAGCGUUCUGUAAGCCUGUGAAGGUGUCUCGUAAGGGAUGCUGGAGGUAUCAGAAGUGCGAAUGCUGACAUGAGUAGCGUUAAAGCGGGUGAAAAGCCCGCUCGCCGUAAGCGCAAGGUUUCCUACGCAACGUUCAUCGGCGUAGGGUGAGUCGGCCCCUAAGGUGAGGGCGAAAGCCAUAGCUGAUGGGAAGCUGGUUAAUAUUCCAGCACCGAUUUCUAGUGCGAUGGGGGGACGGAUCGUGGAAGGUUGUCCGGGUGUUGGAAGUCCCGGUUCCUGACCUGUAGGUGUCUGGUAGGUAAAUCCGCCAGGCGUAUGCCGAGGGGUUGGGACGAGCGAGCUUGCUCGCGAAGCAACUGGAAGUGGUUCCAAGAAAAGCCUCUAAGCUUCAGCUAGAAACGACCGUACCGCAAACCAACACUGGUGCGCGAGAUGAGUAUUCUCAGGCGCUUGAGAGAACUCGGGAGAAGGAACUCGGCAAAUUGACACCGUAACUUCGGAAGAAGGUGUGCCUUGGUAGCUUGAGUGUGAACAACACAAGGGCAAAGAGGUUGCAAAGAAUAGGUGGCUGCGACUGUUUAUUAAAAACACAGCACUCUGCAAACACGAAAGUGGACGUAUAGGGUGUGACGCCUGCCCGGUGCCGGAAGGUUAAGUGAUGGGGUGCAAGCUCUUGAUCGAAGCCCCGGUAAACGGCGGCCGUAACUAUAACGGUCCUAAGGUAGCGAAAUUCCUUGUCGGGUAAGUUCCGACCUGCACGAAUGGCGUAACGAUGGCCACACUGUCUCCUCCCGAGACUCAGCGAAGUUG